UACGGAGGGGACUAGCGUUGUUCGGAAUUACUGGGCGUAAAGCGCACGUAGGCGGAUUUGUAAGUCAGGGGUGAAAUCCCGGGGCUCAACCUCGGAACUGCCUUUGAUACUGCAAAUCUCGAGUUCGGAAGAGGGUCGUGGAAUUCCCAGUGUAGAGGUGAAAUUCGUAGAUAUUGGGAAGAACACCGGUGACGAAGGCGGCGACCUGGUCCGACACUGACGCUGAGGCGCGAAAGCGUGGGGAGCAAACAGG
rnacentral:rRNA from 1 species